ensembl:lncRNA
CUGAGGACUAGACGGCUAACCUUCUGUGAACCUUGAGAAUUCUACUGGAAAGCAAGCUACCUUCCACCUAUCUGGACAAAUGUCCUUCACAUCUUAGAUACCAACACAAGUCUAUUCUCGUCAGGAAAAAAAAAAAACAACUCUUCAAGACCUUAGUAAAACAUGUAUGUAUUUUAUGUGGGAAAAAACCCUGAGAGCAGCAUGAAAGUUAAGUAUGACAACUUUGUUAUUCAAAAUGGUGACGUUAGGCCAUUGACAUCACACCUAGAACACUUUUCAUGACACUUACCUCUAUGGUUAGGAGAACACAAUGCCAGUGAAAGAACUGGGAGGAUACCACUCCAUCUGAGCUGGGCGAAGAGCAGGACCGAUCACAGAAUUUCACUGUCCCUGGAGAUUGAGCUUAUGCAUCAUAUGAGCCAUAAAACAAAACAGGACCAAUGAGUAGCAGUCUCUGGACAACAUGAGGAUGAGUGUCAGUGGCCCUGGGAUCAGGUCCUUCAGUAGAGCCAACAGAACACAGCUUCUCUGGCCUUCAAGCAUGGAUAAAGGACCAACAGCAAUCAGGACUCCUCCAGACCAUUACUGUCAGAUUGACUGAAAAGUCCAGCCUCAUGGAUCAAAGAGUUGCUGAAUUUUCAGCUUCUACAGUCAGGAGCCAGCCCCUGUUGGACUACCCAGUCGACGAGUUAACCAACGGACUAAACUCCUUUAUAUGCAUUCAUUACACCACUUCUCUUCUUCCGGAGAAACCUAUUUAGUGCACUAUAUAAACGGAACCCUGAAAUAUU